UCUCUUCGAUGGCAGUGGACUACCACAAUCCUAAAAGUGGUUUCCCCAGGUUGAUCAUCAUCCAUUGCAGUUUGGUUGUAUUGACCCCUGUGAUUUUCCCAAAUAUGGGAAUCUCAACUACAUAACUUAGUGUACUGGUUCCAUUGCUCUUUUGCUUCUCACCA